rnacentral:rRNA from 1 species
GAUGAACGCUGGCGGCGUGCCUAAUACAUGCAAGUCGAGCGAACAGACGAGGAGCUUGCUCCUCUGACGUUAGCGGCGGACGGGUGAGUAACACGUGGAUAACCUAUCUAUAAGACUGGGAUAACUUCGGGAAACCGGAGCUAAUACCGGAUAAUAUAUUGAACCGCAUGGUUCAUUAGUGAAAGACGGUUUUGCUGUCACUUAUAGAUGGAUCCGCGCUGCAUUAGCUAGUUGGUAAGGUAACGGCUUACCAAGGCAACGCUGCGUAGCCGACCUGAGAGGAUGAUCAGCCACACUGGAACUGAGACACGGUCCAGACUCCUACGGGAGGCAGCAGUAGGGAAUCUUCCGCAAUGGGCGAAAGCCUGACGGAGCAACGCCGCGUGAGUGAUGAAGGUCUUCGGAUCGUAAAACGCUGUUAUUAGGGAAGAACAAAUGUGUAAGUAACUAUGCACGUCUUGACGGUACCUAAUCAGAAAGCCACGGCUAACUACGUG